CAAGUAUUCCCUCCGUUCCGAAUUACUUGUCGUAGGUAUGGAUAUAUCUAGAUAUAUUUUAGUUCUACAUAUAUCCAUUUCCGCGACGAAUAAUUUAGAACGGAGUGAGUAGUAU
rnacentral:pre_miRNA from 1 species